AGAGCGGCCCUCCCGCCCGGGGCGUGGCCCCGGCCGCGCCUCUUAGGUCCUCCAAGCUAGGGGCGAGGCCAUAUUGUCUCCGCCUCCUCUGGGCCACGCCCCCCGUGACCACCUGCUCCGCCCCCGCCGCGCCCUUCCGGCCCAACCCCCACUGGGCAGGCAGAGCGCUGAAGGCUAGACCGGUGGAGUCCUACUGACCCGUGUCAAGCGUGGCCGGCUACGUUUGAUAAUGGCGCUCUUUGAAGCCAUCACCUACAGUCACAGUAGACGGCAACCACCUUAUUUCACUGCACGAGCUCUACCUAAUUAGCAGGAAGCCAUGGUACUUUGCGUGAGGAUGACAGAAGGAACAGAUGCUAACAUAACAUGGGAAUGACAAAGUUAGGCCAUGAGCGGAUCAAGGAACAUCAGAGGACACUGAGCACAAACUUCACUAUGACUGCACCAGACACAGGGAGCAGGGAUGGCUCGUCAUCUGCAGAUACAAUAUUGUGUGGUUUGUAUGGAGACACUCGCAUAUAAUCUCAGGAUGUGGGAGUGGAAGGCAGAAAAGAAUCAAAACGACAAGGAUUCAUGUUCUGCCUCAGA